rnacentral:pre_miRNA from 1 species
UGUCAUCACAAAUAUGAUCUGAACAUAUUAAAAACACGUUGAUCAAAUUGUAAAUAUAUUUAUACUUAUGGUGUAGAAAGUGCACAUUUAUCUUUAACAUGUACCUUGUGGAGGUUUCUAUUAUUAAACAACCAUGGGGUUGUUUUUUUCCCACCAGCCAAGACGAAGGGUUUAAUAGUUUUUAGGUUAUGAAAUCUGACAAUUUGAUCCUAAAUUAAAUUGAAGUAGAAUUGAAAUAUUUGGGGAAAAAGUCAAACCAGUCAUACAAUGAAUAAUUUAAGAGUGUUUUUUUUAUGUGAAAUUGUUAAUUUUUUAAAGGUUUUUAUUAUUUUAUUAUUAAAUUUAUUAUAUGUUCUGAUUAUAUCUGUUCUUUUUGAU